AUGCUCGGCGACGGCGGGCCGGGGAGGGUGGCCGGCGCCGUGCUGCGGUUCGAGGACGGCCGCGGUGGCGGCAAAGCGUGGGAGUUCCGCUUCUCCUACUGGGGCAGCAGCCAGAGCUACGUGAUGACCAAAGGGUGGAGCGCCUUCCUCCGCGACCGCCGGAGACACCGUCUCCUUCUACCGCGCCGGCGCGAGCCUCUUCAUCGACUGCCGCCGGCGCGGCGCCGGAGUAGUGUCCUCAGUGCCGGCGACACGCGUCCUUGUGCCUGCAGCAGUGCCGCAAGUCUUCGCGCUCAUGCCGCAGCGGGGGACGUCGGACGACAGGGCUUCGCACGGGCGGUGCCUCCGGCUGUUCGGCGUCGACCUCGAGCCUUCCACUGCCGAGCGGCCGCUGUUGGAUUUGCAGCUAGCCCUCAUGAGGAGAUGAUCAUCAGUUCAUGCUUUCCUAUUUAUUGUGUAAAUCGAGGGAGGUAA
rnacentral:rRNA from 1 species